GGCGGGUGUGUUAAUAGCACAUUCGUUUGACGUUAGCUGCAGAAGAAGCACCGGCUAACUCCGUGCCAGCAGCCGCGGUAAUACGGAGGGUGCGAGCGUUAAUCGGAAUUACUGGGCGUAAAGCGCAUGCAGGUGGUUUGUUAAGUCAGAUGUGAAAGCCCGGGGCUCAACCUCGGAAUUGCAUUUGAAACUGGCAGACUAGAGUACUGUAGAGGGGGUAGAAUUUCAGGUGUAGCGGUGAAAUGCGUAGAGAUCUGAAGGAAUACCGGUGGCGAAGGCGGCCCCCCUGGACAAAGACUGACGCUCAGAUGCGAAAGCGUGGGGAGCAAACAGGAUUAGAUACCCUGGUAG
rnacentral:rRNA from 1 species